AUUAGUUUACAUUAUAAAUUUAACUUUUAAAUAUGUUUUGAAAAUCUGUAAUGAGAAUAUGCACUAAUUUUUUUUUUUUUUUCAAACUUAUGUUGGUGUUUCUUUCCCUUUUUCCUCUUAUUUAUUCCUAUAUUUUUUCAUUUGUUUAAUGAAUUAAAUCAUGGUCAUUUGAUUAAUUUCAAAUCUUCAGAGAUAAAUUAACUUUAAUUUUGUUAGAUAUCAACUUUAAUCUCUUCUUUUCUUUCUCAAGUAUGACUUUCCCAUCUUUAAUACUCGUCUUUAAAGUUUUUAAUCACACAAUUCAAGAAAUGCUAAGCCACCCUCAUUGGUAGCAUUCUGUUUCCUCAGACCAGACCGUUUUUGUCUUUAAUGUCUGUACAGAGAACCUUGUUUGAUCACUUGGCCCAAAAGGAUAAAUGAUGCUUCCCAUUGUGUCUUAGCAUAUUUUACAAAUGCAGAAAAACAUGAAGCAUGUCCUAGUUGGGACAGUAAAUCUCUUGAGAUGCUCCUCAGCGUUAAGCGACAUUUUAGUUAUUCUUCUUGUGGCAUAGGUCUACUUUAAAAAAAGGUUGACCAUUGUUACUUAAAAGUAAGAAUAACAAUAUAAAUGUAAAGUAUACAUCUUAUGCCUUACAUGUCACUGACCAAUAAUUGAUGCUACAUCUUGAUACCCAUUAUUAUUAAUUCCUAGAAUAAAUGUAAUCUCAUGAAUUCACCAUGUUUUGGAUGGUUGGCUUUAAAAAGAUGCUGAUAGUCUUCCAUUGAAUACUGAUUCACUCGGAAUUGUUGCUUGCAAAUAAUCACACACACACACCACCUUUUAUUAAUUAACUAUCAGAAAAAGAAAUUGCGUGUCCUAUAACCUGCUCCUUGAGAAAAAGAUAUAUCCUUAUGUAAUAUUUCUGCUUACAUAGGUGAAGAACUGUGGCCUACAACUUGCAACCUACAUAUAUACAUUCACUUUUAGCUAUUGAGAUUGUAAUAGGUAUCAUUUAUAGGCAUCAAUCACUCAAAACUUGAGUUUAGUCAAUGUCUAUGCUUAAUUUGUUUUUAUGUGCAUGCAUAUUGCAUGUGUGAUGGUGGUGGUGGUGGUAGUGGUGAGGAGGGGCAUGUCUACACUGACUAAUUCUAUGGUUCUUACUUCCUACAAUAGCUGGAGUAUCCUGUCUGCCAACAAAUCAACCAAUAGGUAAUGCAAAACUUGCACAAAAGAAAUCAGUUUCUGUUGGUAUUACCAGGAGGUUAUAUACACUUAUUGAAGAACCUGAAGGUGAUGAUAACUAACAGAUAAGAAAACUGCUUCAAUGUUAGAUUCCUUCUAUGUCAAGCUCCUUCAGCAAGCAAGUUUGACAUUUAAGGAGUUUUACUCCUUCAUUAAUAUUUGAAAGCCUUUUGAAGAAUUGCCACUUGAUAAAGAUCAAUGUUUUAUAGAAAAUUUCAGAAACUGAAAAUAUUCUGAGAUAAUUAUUUUUUAUAUUUUCAACCGAUCCAAUAGAUAUUUUGU
rnacentral:lncRNA from 1 species